AUUGAACGCUGGCGGCAGGCCUAACACAUGCAAGUCGAGCGGGGGAAGGUAGCUUGCUACUGGACCUAGCGGCGGACGGGUGAGUAAUGCUUAGGAAUCUGCCUAUUAGUGGGGGACAACAUCUCGAAAGGGAUGCUAAUACCGCAUACGUCCUACGGGAGAAAGCAGGGGAUCUUCGGACCUUGCGCUAAUAGAUGAGCCUAAGUCGGAUUAGCUAGUUGGUGGGGUAAAGGCCUACCAAGGCGACGAUCUGUAGCGGGUCUGAGAGGAUGAGCCGCCACACUGGGACUGAGACACGGCCCAGACUCCUACGGGAGGCAGCAGUGGGGAAUAUUGGACAAUGGGGGGAACCCUGAUCCAGCCAUGCCGCGUGUAUGAAGAAGGCCUUAUGGUUGUAAAGCACUUUAAGCGAGGAGGAGGCUACUUUAGUUAAUACCUAGAGAUAGUGGACGUUACUCGCAGAAUAAGCACCGGCUAACUCUGUGCCAGCCGCCGCGGUAA
rnacentral:rRNA from 1 species